AUACGUAGGGAGCGAGCGUUGUCCGGAAUUACUGGGCGUAAAGGGCGCGUAGGCAGCGCUUCAAGUCGUCUGUCAAAUGGAAGGGCUUAACCCUUUUUCGCAGACGAAACUGGAGAGCUUGAGAAGCAGAGAGGCAAACAGAAUUCCUGGUGUAGCGGUGAAAUGCGUAGAUAUCAGGAAGAAUACCAGUGGCGAAGGCGGUUUGCUGGCUGCAUACUGACGCUGAAGCGCGAAAGCCAGGGGAGCGAACGGGAUUAGAUACCCCGGUAGUCCUGGCAGUAAACGAUGUAUGCUGGGUGUGAGACUAGCGAUAGUUUCGUGCCGAAGUUAACGCGAUAAGCAUACCGCCUGGGGAGUACGGUCGCAAGAUUGAAACUUAAAGGAAUUGACGGGG
rnacentral:rRNA from 1 species